GACGAACGCUGGCGGCGUGCUUAACACAUGCAAGUCGAACGGAAAGGCCCUGCUUUUGUGGGGUGCUCGAGUGGCGAACGGGUGAGUAACACGUGAGUAACCUGCCCUUGACUUUGGGAUAACUUCAGGAAAAUGGGGCUCAUACCGGAUAGGAGCUCUUGCUGCAUGGUGGGGGUUGGAAAGUUUCGGCGGUUUGGGAUGGACUCGCGGCCUAUCAGCUUGUUGGUGGGGUAGUGGCUUACCAAGGCGUUGACGGGUAGCCGGACUGAGAGGGUGACCGGCCACAUUGGGACAGAGAUGCGGCCCAGACGCCUACGUGAGGCAGCAGUGGGAAAUAGUGCACGAUGGGCGGAAGCAUGAUGCAGCAACGCCGCGUGCGGGAUGACGGCCUUCGGGUUGUAAACCGCGUGCGCCUGUGACGAAGCGUGAGUGACGGUAAUGGGUAAAGAAGCACCGGCUAACUACGUG
rnacentral:rRNA from 1 species